rnacentral:rRNA from 1 species
ACGAACGCUGGCGGCGUGCUUAACCCAUGCAAGUUGAACGGAAAGGCCCUGCUUUUGUGGGGUGCUCGAGUGGCGAACGGGUGAGUAACACGUGAGUAACCUGCCCUUGACUUUGGGAUAACUUCAGGAAACUGGGGCUAAUACCGGAUAGGAGCUCCUGCUGCAUGGUGGGGGUUGGAAAGUUUCGGCGGUUGGGGAUGGACUCGCGGCUUAUCAGCUUGUUGGUGGGGUAGCGGCUUACCAAGGCUUUGACGGGUAGCCGGCCUGAGAGGGUGACCGGCCACAUUGGGACUGAGAUACGGCCCAGACUCCUACGGGAGGCAGCAGUGGGGAAUAUUGCACAAUGGGCGGAAGCCUGAUGCAGCAACGCCGCGUGCGGGAUGACGGCCUUCGGGUUGUAAACCGCUUUCGCCUGUGACGAAGCGUGAGUGACGGUAAUGGGUAAAGAAGCACCGGCUAACUACGUG